rnacentral:lncRNA from 10 species
CCCACCCCUAACUCCCAUUGCUGACUCUCUUUUAGGACUCAGCCCACCUGCACCCAGGUGAUUAAAAAGCUUUAUUGCUCACACAAAGCCUGUUGGUGGUCUCUUUACAUGGAUGCACAAGACACUCUUGACUUUGAUUUUCUGCAGUAUGAAUAUGGGACAUGCAUGAAAUUUGGUGCCGUGACUCAGAUCGGGGGACCUCCUUUGGGAGAUCAAUCCCCUGUCCUCCUGAUCUUUACUCCAUGAGAAAGAUCCACCUACAACCUCAAGUCCUCAGACUGACCAGCCCAAGAAACAUCUCACCAAUUUCAAAUCCGGUAAGCAGCCUCUUUUUACUCUUUUCUCUAACCUCCCUCACUAUCCCUCAACCUCUUUCUCCUUUCAAUCUUGGUGCCACACUUCAGUCUCUC